rnacentral:lncRNA from 1 species
CUGCUGUAGGCGCUCAUUUGUCCAUGGCGUAGCCAGGUGGACGUGCUUCAAAGAGCUGUGAGAAUCCAGGAAGACAUCUCACCUCAGAAGGGUGCAGCUGGGUUCUAUCCAUGUCAUCGACUUCUAGACUUACGACUAAGACCCGUGCUUUCUGUCACAACCACGAAGAGAAGGAUCCCCUAGAGGAAGAUUAGCCCUGAGCUAACUACUGCCAGUCCUCCUCUAUUUUCGCAGAGGAAGACUGGCCCUGAGCUAACAUCCAUGCCCAUCAUCCUCUACUUUAUAUGUGGGAUGUCUACCACAGCAUGGCGUGCCAAGCGGUGCCAUGUCCGCACCCAGGAUCCGAACCAGCGAACACUGGGCCGCCGAGAAGCGGGAAGUGCAAACUUAACCGCUGCACCACUGGGCUGUUCCCCCCAAGAAUUCUUUUUUCAAAGUUUCUUGGUGUGGCUCGUCACCCCUCCUCCGACUGGCCCUUCAUCUCUCUUGCUCUCCCUUGGGCCACUGGAUGUCAGCGAGAAGAGUCUAAUGAAGACUCCUCUUUUGACAAUGCGAGUCCCUGUGUGAAAGCCCCCGCUCACCAGCCUGCCUUCGCUUGACAAAUGAUGAAGAUAAUGAAAGUGAAGGUGCAGAGCGGAACGGCCAAGACAGUCUGGGCACGUCUCUCAUCACCACCUGUUUGUGCAGACAGAGAGCCCCCCGAGGAGUUUCAGGUGACCUCAGCCUUGCGAGGCGCAGAGAAGUCUGCAUUCCUAGGUCCUUCUGUUUGAGACUCUACUGAGAGGCUUCAGGCUGCACUGUGCACAACCUCUUACGGUCAGGCCCUGCAAGCUUAUGCUGCUUCACCUUCCCUUUGCAUACCGUGGAGGAAAAAUCAUAAUGCUCACUGUGGGCCAAAGCCUUUGUUAUGCUCAGGGCUUCGGAAGAUUGGAUUACUACAACACUACGGAAGAGAAAACUGAGGUUCACAGAGGCUAGCAACUCUCCAAGGCCCCACAGCAGAUAUCUCAUCUAGUCGGAACUUGCUCCUAGGCCUGUCUGGCUCUCAGCUGCCACACCACGCUGCCUCCCUUGAGGAAAGGAUGGUUGAUGUGGGAUAUGUUGGAACAAUGCAGCCUCCUGAAAUCAGCUUUGCCUUUAAAGACAGAAGUGACAGGGGCCAAAGAGUGCACAGGACUGGCUGGACAGGGUUAGGAGUCACAUGUGUCAGGUCCUAGUUGGACUGGACCACUCCCUGACCACAAGAGCUCUAGACAACCACUGGAACUUUCUGAGCUCACGUCCUCAUCUGGAAAUGGAGCAAACACCCUCUGCCCUUUCCACUUUACAGGAUGAUUCUGAAGGAGGUUUGUGGACUGAAAAGUACUUUAUGACUGUAAGGGCUUCCUGGAUGAGACAUUUUCAAAAAAGAGCUGUGAUUACAGGAGUAACGUAGGCAUAUUUUGUUUUCUUAUGAUAGGUCCCUGAUGUGUUUUUAGAUAUGUUAAACUUUCACAGAGUCUCAUCUUCAAAAACACAGUCCUGUAAGAUCCUAGGCUUUUUUAUGUCUGAGUUAUAACGAAUAAAUGAACACCAAUCCUUGUAGCGGGCAGAAGCAACUUCCUUGAAAGUCUUCUCGUGGUGGGUGUUCUGGCUCAAACGCUUCCCAGUCUGGUUAGAUAAAAAAAAUUUAGUAUGACCUUCUUUUGUAUUGUUUAUUGGCCAAUACGUUUCAUGCCUCAUUUGCCCUCAAAUUCACAUUUUUAUUCACCAGAGUAUUUGCUCUGCCUUUGUGUGUGCGUGUGUGUGUGUAUGCCUGUGCGUGUGUGUGCUCAUGUGCUCACUACACAGUCACAGAAAACCUUUGCACCUUAAACACUAGCCAGAUGAUAGGAUAUUUAUUUUUUAUUUUGCCAAACUAUGUGAUUUCUAUGCAUUGUUUUAAAACCAAAAGAGGAAAAGAAAAACGUUUAAGAAUUUUGCUUCAAAUGAGCAGCCUCUGACAUGCCUAAGAUGGCGAGGGUCAGUUUCUACUCCAUGCAAACCUUUUAAUUACAUGCAGCCUGAAUCGGGGCGGCCAUCUCUGACCUGGAGCCUCAGACCCAGUGUCCUGCCCUCUGAUGGCUGCCAUCCACCAGUGCCCAUCCUUGACGUGAGUCCCUAAUUCUGUCGUGCCCUCCCAGCAGGCGAGGGGGCUGGAGCCGGGCUGGUUUCCUUGCAAUUAAUGAACAGCAAGAGCGCAUAAUUAGGAAACUCCUAAGGAGGACUCCCCUUAUAGCGAGUGGCGAGUUCAGCUUCUCUCCCUCCUCUUGCCAGUUCCCAUCCCUACAGUCACAUCUCAUCGAGUUUGGGAAUUUUAUCAUUUUUAUUGGGACUCUUUUUCCUAGAGUUUAUUUUUACACUGCCAGAAGCUUUUUCAAAUUUUAACCUCGGGAGUGGAUCAUUAAGUUAAUCACACUUCUCUUGUUUUGUCUGUUCCUUCAUCCCCCUCUCUGAUUCCCUUGCAUGCCUUCACAGGUAACCAUUUCCACGUGUUUCUCCCGUGUGUGCGUGAGAGAGAGAUACUGUGAUCUUGUAAGUGGCCAGGAGCUUUCAUCACUGAUUCCUCCUCUGCACCGACUCGCUCAGGAGCCCUCAGUUCACCUUGGAUGUGUUUUUGUUCUGUGGCAAGAGAAUCACAUGUGUAUACACACGCGUCUGCCAUUUUCACCAGGAAAUGUGACCGGAGUUCUUAAAAAUUCUGUCUCAAUGAGUUUUUACUCAUCUCUCCUGAGAACUCACCCACCUGAUAGAAUUUUAAGCUUUAAAAGGUACUUCCUGUGAUUAUUCACUCAUUGAGGCAGAGGAGACUGAUGCCAAGAUGUGAUGGAACUGGGAGGUGGAGGGAACUGAGUGACGGUAGAUGAGGCUGGGAGAUGAGCCACCUGGGUCUGACACUAAGUCAGUUACUAGGCCCUUGAGCAAAUUUAUAAACCAAUCAAAGCCUCAGUUUUUUAGUCUGUGAAAUGGACUUAGUAUCUGCAUGUUAAUGUGGAGUUACAGUUAACGAAAUAAUGUAUUGACAAGCGCCAAGGUCAAUGCCUGGCGUGCACAAAAAGUCCAGUAGGUGUUGGUUGAAUCAGAGCAUCUUUCUUUGGAGUAAUUUGAAGUUCCCUGCUGAACUCAGGAGGAAGGCAGAGGUGCCAGGAGCAGCCAUGGGCCUGUUCAGAGCUAGCUAACAGAGGUUGACCAAAAGAAGACAUAGGCUGACAGAACAGCAACCAGGGCGACUGCAUUCACUUCGUGAGCCCGACUUCACUCUCUGCAUUUGAGAGAAAAUCACUACUGCACACCGUUCUUGUAGGACUGAACUGUGAUGACAUUCACUAAGAUCUGGAUACACGGAAGGCCGCCUCCUCAGCUGCUAAUGGGAGUCAUGCUGGAGGGACAGCGAGCAGCCGCCUCUGACAUUUAGAGAACUAGACCAGAUGCUUUUAGUAUAUUAAAAUCAGAUUUUUGAUUUAUAUUUAUGUAUGUUAUUAUCCUCUUUUUUCCUCUUAAUUUUGUUCUUUGUAUUUAUACAGCUGCAUUGUGCUCUGACCACGGUCACUGUGAUUAGCAAUAUUUAUUUAAAAUUAGGGAAUAUUUGGCUGUGAUUUCAUUUCCCCCUAUUUUCAGCUGCCAUCGAGUCAAAGGCCCUAGUGAUGUAGGCGGCCCAGGAAGAGGAUUGAACCCACGAGCGCUUGCUCAUUUGAGUAAGACUCUGCUCUCUAUUACUACUUCAAAAAGCGAACUUCCUGUUCUCUAGGGUUUGUGUCUGCAGGUGUGGAGGUAGCCUUUCUCCCUGCCCACUCCUUCACCCAGGGCAAGGACAGCCAUCACCAAACCCUUGAAGUCUUCAGAAACUCCAUCGUGGGAGGGGUGGGUCUUCUCCUGCUAGUCCACCCAUUCUGAUAAAGAAUUUCAAGGAAGAGCUUUCCCUGCUGCCUUUCCAGGGUCAGAUGACACUUGAGCGUCACGAGUGAGGUCUUAUCAUCUCCAAGGUGACAAGUUGGGAUGAAAUAUUCACCGGGCAGCUUUUGGAUGGCUUUCUAAUCACUUCUGGCUUGACACUUUGGAAAAUUAAAAAAUAAGAGGAGUUUCUUUUCAGGUUGAACAUUUACAGCCUUGCCAAAUUAUCCUGUUUCUGCUUCUGGCUUCCAAUAACAGCAGGCUUUGAUGUCAAAUGUCCACAGCGUGCUUGGGGCAUGAGUGUGGUCUGUCUCCUGUGACCAGGGGUCCCUGAGGCCCCCGGGUGGACUCUCUGAGACCUGGGCACAGGGCUCCCUUUGCGCUUCUUUCCUUUGGGGCAAUGAUUAGGUAUGUGGGUGAAUCAAUUUGGGCUGCUAGCCUGGGGUUGUUAAAAAGCAGGUGUUGAUCAUGGGAGUAAUUACCAAGGACUGCAUACCCCAAAUGAUUUACAAUCUGAGAUCUAAAGCAAAAAAUGAGUUCUCACACCUCAGAUCUGCUGCUUCGCUCCUUCUGCCUCAAACGUGCUGCCGAUGAUGAAUGCACCUCAAGUGCCUCACCUGCCGGGAGGCGUUCUGCCGCCUGGCCGGCCGUCAGGUAUCUCUCAUGAUCUACACAUAUGGCAGGCGCCACGUACUAAAUCCACACAAAGGGCCAUCCCCACCCUUCCCCAGCUCACAGUUUAUAAUGCUCAGUCUGAAAUGACCUUUAAAAAGCCAGAUAAUAUUUUAUUUACCUUUUUUCUUCCAUUUACUGUUAAAUGUUAAUGAAGGUAAGAGAUUCAAAUUCCUGCUAAUAAAACACUUUAAUUGACUCAAGUGUAACCAUAACUGUAAAUUGGCUACUUUGUACGAACGACCUUAGCGCUCCCUGCCCCCGACUCUCCCGCCCGUGCAAUUUUGGAAGUUGGCAGCAAACACAGGCUUUGUUCUUCCUGGGCUUCAUGCGCAGCCCCCCAACUCUCUGCUCCAAGACAGGCAAGCAGGAGCCACUUUGGAGCUCUCCUUUCUGUGGCAUUAACUACCCUUCACCCCUCCCACAGGCUCCCUCUAUUGAAAUCCUUCAGAUUCAAGGCCCAUUGUAAGCACCACCUCCUCCAGGAAGCCCAGUUCCCUCUCAUCUGCCUCCAAAGAGCCACAGCAUUUUGAGACUUUCCUUGUGAUGGUUCUCACUUUGCCUUUUGUUAUAGUAACUUCUGCAGCUGUCUUAUCUCCUUACUUGUUAGAAACCCGAUGCAUGGUCAGUGCUCAGCAAUAUCUAUUAAGUUGAAUUAACUGAUUUUUCUUCAAAAGAUUGGCACCUGAGCUAACAUCUGUUGCCAAUCUUCUUCUUCUCCCCAGAGCGCACCCAGUACAUAGUUGUAUAUUCUAGUUGUAGGUCCUUCUGGUUGUGGCAUGUGGGACGCUGCCUCAGCAUGGCCUGAUGAGCGGUGCCAUGUCUGCACCAGGAUCCGAACUGGUGAAACCCUGAGCCGCCGAAGCGGAGCGUGUGAACUUAACCACUCGGCCACUGGGCGGCCCCCCAGAAAAAAAUUUUUGUUGCCCUGUGCCAUACCAAUUCUCUAGGGCAUUCGCAAAACCAUUUAUUAAAUGCUCUUUGCCUGGAUUUCUUAGGCAAGUCCGCUCACUAUUCAAAACUUGUAAUAACUUGCUGCUUUAGAGAAAGAAUUUCAAAAAAGAAGAAAAUCUACACCUUGUAGUUAAAAAAAAAAAGUGAGAGGAGCCUCUGUAUGAUCUUAUGCAGGCUGAUGUGGUGUGGUCAGAGAAAGAACAGGCCAGGGGUUCUCUUUCUCUGGCUGCACCUCUAAGGGCAGAGGCUGCAAGCUUAGCUAUUCCUUUGCUCAGCGGAGCUCUGGUGGACCGCGCCCUCCCAGCACGUCAUCUGGACCAUAGUUGGGUGCGUCUGCAAUCCUCUUCCAACUCCAGACAGCUGCUGCUUUGAGGUGGUAGAUGGUCCGGCUCCUGGACAGCAGCAUCUGUCUCCAGUGAGCUCUGGGCUGCUGGUGGAAGAGGUGGCUUCAGCCAACGACAGUAUCUGAAGGAGACAGAAGAGCAGAGAGAUUAAGACAAUGGCCAUAUAGUUGCUGUGUGAUCUUGAAAUUUCUGAGGAAGCUGUUGCAAAUGGCUUGGGGGCUGUUCCUAAAAUAGAUUUGAGAGAUGAAAAAAUGAGAGAAUGCAUAGACAAUCUGAGACAAAUGAUCAGCUCUGAUACCGACACUGAGAUUGUAAGAUGACUGCUGUGCCUUGCCAGAAAUGAAUAUUCAGGACGCCCCUGCUGGGUGCCUUUUCCUAUUUGAACCAACUACUCUUUGGGCCAUGAUUCACUUGUUAGCAAAUUAAACACUCUUUGCACACAGCAGAGCAACUUUACGAAGUCGGAUUUUGAAGUGCAAACAUCUUUUCUGCUCUGGCCACGGAACCUGUCACAAUCUUCAUCGGGAACUGAAUUAAGUUUAAAAUAUCAUCAGAGGGUGUUGAUCUCUCUUGGGCCUGGAGCUGUCCUCUGUACAUCCGGCAUUUUUCUGUUGACACUGCAUAUCACUUAGCAACAGGCCUGAAAGGCCCUAUAUGCAUUGAUUGCACACUAUUGUCUUUAAAGGGUGGAAGUGUUAACUGAAUAAACCCCCCGGGUGACCGCACGGUCAUUCCUCUCAAGUUGAUAAUGUGUUUACAUCAAAAUAUUGUUUAUUCCAUUCUCUGAUCUCCUGAUUUUUGCAUCUCUGGCUGAAGGAAUACAGUUAAUUCCCUACAUGGUGGAGAACCCAAAUCUACUCUCCUGACACGGACCGAUGAGAAUGGUUUUCUUCCUACUUCUCCUGAUAAAGCAUUAAAUGCAUUUGACAGCUAACUGCAGACGAUAACGCCAACUUUCUCUUGUGGUUCUCAGAGGAUGGAGAAGUUACAAGCCUGCAAUUGCCCCAUAAAGAGAAAAUAUUCCCUUUGGUCUGUGAAUGGUUCUGAAAUAAACGGCAGGAUAUGUUACAUGGCCGCGAAGAUGUUAAGGCUUUAAAAUGGAUGGCGGGCUCUGACAUCAUCUGAAUGAGAAGGAAAUAUGGCCUAACCAAGGGGUGUUUUCAGAAUGAAUAAAAUUUCAAAGUGGAAAUUCUUGCUUGAGAGGCAAGAGGAGAACACAUUUUUGCAUCAAUAGCCAUGGCUGAAGCAAUAGACUAGACCAGUGGGUCAAACAGGCAUUUUAGCUCAGACCUCUCCCUUUUACAAUGAUGUAUUUCAGAGACCUUCCACCGAGACAGCGUUCUCACAAACGUCUCAGACAAUGAGGGCAUGUCAGCUGAGGGAUUGUACAUGUAGGCAAAGACCAGAUUUGUGGGUUUGGCGCCCACCUGCGUCAAAUCAUGUAGUGGAGACAAAGUGUGGCUACCUGCUCUCCAGCUUCUAGUUUUGAGAAAUCUGUUUUGCUCCUUUGUGAGUUUCCACCAUACUACAUCAAGCUGAAAACGGAGAAAGAUAGAUCAAUAUGUCUUGAGAAAUAUGCCAACAAGGCAAGCGACUUCAAAAUCGACCUACUGAUUAUAUUGCCUUGGCAUGACUUUCUAUCUGGUAUAAUAGUGCCAAAACGUUCUUUGGUAAAUGUUAAAGUUUUUUCUUUCCACAGUCCUCCUCAUCAAAUAGGAAACCUACUUAAAAUUAAGAAUCAAAUUCUAUUAAUGUUUCCCCUUUGAUAAAAGCCUCAGGCCUUGACUCCAUGCCUUGAUAGAAAGAAAAAUGCAAUCCCGGACUUUUGGACAUAGAUCCAUAUGAGUAGGGAGAUGAGAAUGAAAGGGGAAAAGAUGGAAACCGCCAUGGAUAUUCUCGUUAGCCAGGAGGAGGUGCGGGAAUACCUUCAUUAUUAGAAGUAAAAAUAUUUUAAACUAAUGUACAAGUUUUUAAGUGACACCCAUCUCCUUCUGCACCCCUGUGUCCCGGAAAUGUCUCGUAUCCUCUCUGCAGGUCUAGUCACCUUGGCCUGGUUCAGCUACUGAGCAAUCUUACUUCUAUAAACAUUUCACUGCUACCAGUUGGAUUUUUCACAGCAUUAACUUUAACUACAUGGGUGUUUGUAAUGGAAUAAAAUUUUA